CAACGUACUGCCGAUACUGAUAAUGCAUGACAAUUAAAUGGGGCUGUCCCCCUUCCGCUUCCGCCUCCCGCUGCUCAUCCGAUUAGCCUCCGAGCAAGGUUAAUGUUUGGAGUUUCUAUUGGUUGUUGGGAGAUCCUCAAAGCAUUGUAUUAUCAGUCAAACAUGUUCCAGGUAUUACUAAAAGAAAGCGAGGCUAUCCUUGGUUCGAAACGGCGCGCGAGAAAGGGACGAAGCUUCGCCUGGCUGACGGAAACGAAGGAGCGAGAGAAGAAGCUUCCGCUCCGAGGUACAUACACACGAAGCGGAAGUAGAUUGUCCAGCAGAACACGAGAGAGAAAAAAGACGAUGAUUUGUAGUUCGUGUGUAUAGGAUUUGUGGGUAUUUUUGUAUUUGUAUACGAAACAGUAUCUCACAACUAUAGAUAGAGAAAUAAUGUUACACAUUAGGACACGUUUUGGGGCCGAGGAGGACCGGAUCGUCUCUAUC
rnacentral:lncRNA from 7 species